UAUUCUCUCAGCCAAGUUUACGCCUUUUUUAUGUACUUUGGGGCGAAACAUGGCUAUAUUCUGUAUUUGUCGAAAUCGAAUACGCAACUAGGCGAGUCUAACUGGUUGUAGUAAAUGUGCAUUUUCAUUUCAUGGCACUUUGUGAUCAGGAAUGAGCGAGUGAGCCUUUGCCGAGAAAUAGAAGACAAUCCAUCAAGAAGACAUGAAAAUGUGAGGCUUGCAGGCUGAGCGAUUGUAGGGGAAACGCAGCUACAACUGAUGCGACCGAGACUGCGGGGCUACCGCGUGCUAUAGCCAAGACGAAGUUCAUGGUGAUUCUCAUUCCGUGACCAGCCAAAGGAUCGAGGCCUCCAAAUAAGUGUUUAAUCUCGGAUAGAAGUAUCUUCAGCGGUAUGCCAUAGGCAACUGCGCGCGCCCGACAUUCAGCAAUGGCGAUGAGGUUCACAGGAAACAAGAUACCCGAAAAACAGGAAACGCCCGAUAUACUAGAAAUAUAACUUGAUAAGGUGGAAGCUUGAGCGAGUUGGAGACCCUUCCCAGGGCAAAGAACAAAUGGCUUGAACUUCGUGUCAUCACUGGCCGAAUAACUGAAUUCAUCUGGCAGCACGCACUCAUUCAUCUUCGGGCCAUCACCCCCAAGAAGUAAUCGCCAAACACAGAGAACAGCUUACACGUGAAAUCAUAGAGGCUGACAAGAUACAGCGGCUAGGUGUCCUUUGCAUCAGCAAGCCGUCUAUUGCUCUCACCAAAAGUGAAAUCAAGUAUCUCUCUGUGAUGCAAUAGGGGUUCAUGUGUGACAUAAUGCAAAAGUUUUUUUUCAUUACUUUUGCUCAUGUAUAUACGUCUGGCGUUUUCGGAAAUAAAGAUCAGUGGAAGUCAG